rnacentral:rRNA from 1 species
AUUGAACGCUGGCGGCAUGCUUUACACAUGCAAGUCGAACGGCAGCGCGGGGCAACCUGGCGGCGAGUGGCGAACGGGUGAGUAAUAUAUCGGAACGUACCCAGAAGUGGGGGAUAACGUAGCGAAAGUUACGCUAAUACCGCAUACGAUCUACGGAUGAAAGUGGGGGACCUUCGGGCCUCAUGCUUGUGGAGCGGCCGAUAUCUGAUUAGCUAGUUGGUAGGGUAAAGGCCUACCAAGGCGACGAUCAGUAGCUGGUCUGAGAGGACGACCAGCCACACUGGGACUGAGACACGGCCCAGACUCCUACGGGAGGCAGCAGUGGGGAAUUUUGGACAAUGGGCGCAAGCCUGAUCCAGCAAUGCCGCGUGAGUGAAGAAGGCCUUCGGGUUGUAAAGCUCUUUUGUCAGGGAAGAAACGGCGAUUUCUAAUAAAGAUUGCUAAUGACGGUACCUGAAGAAUAAGCACCGGCUAACUACGUGCCAGCAGCCGCAAUAC